CGUGAUAUCAGCCAAAGAAACAUCCAACACUUUCUCCAUAUCCUUUGCUGCCUGUGCCACAUUCCGCUCCACCAAAGCUGUGUAUCUAUCAUCAAAUAUCACUAAAUCAUAAAUCAAAGCAGGUAACACUUUUAAUUACUUUUAUGUUAAUAAUUAACAAUAUUUUAAUUAUAGACUUCACAAUUUUGUUGUAUGGUGAAUAAAAUGUCAUAAUACCAAUUAUCAAAUAUAUUAUAUAUAUAUUACGUGGAAGUUGUUCAAGAGAUGACAGUUCGAUCGUAUGAAGAAAGGGAUGUUGAGAAUACAAAAUUAUGAUUGAUUAUAACAAGAUGUGAAUUAUGAUUAAAGGGAAGUCAACCCCUCAAUUUGGUUGGUUCCGAGAUAAUUCCAAAACAAAGCUUCAAAGAAAUGCACAAAUAAUAAUUAACCUGGCAGUUUCCGGCAUCAUCAUUCGCCAGUAAUAAGUCAUGGCCGCCGGAACAGCGCCCAGCAUGAGGAUCAGCCUCCAAGCAAUAUCAG
rnacentral:lncRNA from 1 species